AAUAUAAAUCUUCCUGUAACAUGUAAAGGAAACAAUAAUAUACACAUAAAAUCCAAGCCAAAUGUAAACAAAACAAUUUGUAGCAGCAAGUCGCCAUGUAUAUGUAUGAAUUACAUAACAACCAAAUUUUCCCAACUGCACAUCUUUAUGUAAAUCCAAGCAGCUUAUUCUAAAAUCAUGAAUUGAAAAAUCAUAACAACCACGACAGAUACACUACAGAACUUUCUCAAUACACAACACCCUUUUACUAAUAAAACUAUGGCAUAUAACAAUGAAUCUCAUAGCAACCUAACCAAAACAACUAUAUGAUUAAAGCCAAACCGUAAUGGACAUUUUUGAAGAGAACUCGAGAUUGUUACCGAAAUACGACUCUUCCGGUAUUACCAGCUACUGAUGCAUUUGUCGUUGCUGCUAGUUCUUACUAUUGUUUUAUCGCCUCCGCUCACUCAAAGCUUCCUCCUGCGAUCUGUCCCGGUUUUGAUUUCGACUCUAUGGCCACAAUGAUCAUCGACCUGUCCUCAAGGCUUGCGAGACCGAAAUCACCGCAAUGGUUUGACCUGCAAAAUAGAAAUGAAUUCACAACCCAUCAAAUGUCCAAACAGCCAUUAAAGCGAGGGUUUUGGUCGAUGGUGAUAUGAGGAUUUGUUGAAAAUGUGUGGCGGCAGGUAUGACGGAAAAUGAAGGGUUUUCGUGAGGGUUGGUGGUCAAAGGGUUUAGGGUUAUGGAAACGUGGCGCCGUUGAGUUAUGGUGGUGGUCCGAUGGUUGAAGGUGACGACAUUUGUGGAGGUUAACGGCGGAUGAAGGGAUUUUGGUGAGGCGGAGAAGAUGAUUGAUGGUGAAACAGAAGGGGUUUCGGCGGUUGAAGGUGGGUCGCGAUUGGGGUUUUACGGCGGAGGUUCUAUGGUGACGGAUGAGCGUGAGAUUUUUCAGAGUUUUUAGAGAGAGUAAUUGUGAGGAUUUUUCUGUGUAGGUUGUUGUGCGGUGUCAGUUUUGAGAGUCAAAAGGAAAGUUGUGAGUGGUGAGUGAUUUAGUAGUGGAGAGAGACGUUGGGGAGCCAGAUGGAAGAGAUCAUUUUAGAUCUCCUUUUUUUUGAUUUUCUUCUUUUGUAGUCGUUAGAGGAGAGAGAUAUAAAGAGAUUUUUUUUGUUUUUUAUGCAAAGAAGGAAUCCAAUGCACACAAUAUAUACAUAUAUAUUUUUUCCAACUAUUAUUCUUUUAAGNGAUAACCCUAAACAGCAUGAUGCUCCUCCCCGCAUAAACCGAGCGAAACCAGUGAAUUAAUCAGGGAAUCAGAAAUACAAAACUUUAAACCGAAGUUACGGCAUAUAUACAACCUGUUUGAACCUUAUAAUAACAGCCUAAUAUAAAUCUUCCUGUAACAUGUAAAGAAAACAAUAAUAUACACACAAAAUCCAAGCCAAAUGUAAACAAAACAAUUUGUAGCAGCAAGUCGCCAUGUAUAUGUAUGAAUUACAUAACGACCAAAUUUUCCCAACUGCACAUCUUUAUGUAAAUCCAAGCAGCUUAUUCUAAAAUCAUGAAUUGAAAAAUCAUAACAACCACGACAGAUACACUACAGAACUUUCUCAAUACACAACAGCCUUUUACUAAUAAAACUAUGGCAUAUAACAAUGAAUCUCAUAGCAACCUAACCAAAACAACUAUAUGAUUAAAGCCAAACCGUAAUGGACAUUUUUGAAGAGAACUCGAGAUUGUUACCGAAAUACGACUCUUCCGGUAUUACCAGCUACUGAUGCAUUUGUCGUUGCUGCUAGUUCUUACUAUUGUUUUAUUGCCUCCGCUCACUCAAAGCUUCCUCCUGCGAUCUGUCCCGGUUUUGAUUUCGACUCUAUGGCCACAAUGAUCAUCGACCUGUCCUCAAGGCUUGCGAGACCGAAAUCACCGCAAUGAAGGUGACGACAUUUGUGGAGGUUAACGGCGGAUGAAGGG
rnacentral:lncRNA from 1 species